rnacentral:lncRNA from 1 species
UUGCUUUUUGUGGCUUUUUGUCAUCAUAUUACAUUAUUUGAGGUUAGUUUGUCUAAUUAAUUUGAAAUUGUUAGGAUAAAAAAAAUAUUAUCAUUAUUCAUAAAAAUAUUAGUUGAUAAAGAAGUGGAGGUAAAAAAAAUUAAUAUAAAUGUUUUUUUAUUAUAAAAAAAUUAAUAUAAAUGUUAUUAUACUAUAUAUAGUUUUGGAUAAAAAAUAAUAUUAGUGACAGAUGAUAUACGCAGGAGAUGUUUAGUAAAAAAAAAUUAUGAUUAUUAAAAAAUAUUAGUAAAAAUAUUAGUUUUGGAUAAAAAAAUAUUAGUAAAAAAUAUCAUCAUUAUUGUUUGAUGUUUAGUAAAAAAUAUUAUCAUUAUUGUUUUGAAUUAAUGUCAAUGAUAUACGCAGGAGAUUGAUCAAUAUAUGUCUCAUCGAAGUUGGAUGUAUGAUAGAAAAUAUCCGGGUGGUAGGAUAGUUAAAGCGUGUUUUAAGGAUGGAGUUGAAGAAUUUGUUACUUACGCGAUGUCGCAAGAUAUUGUUAAAAGUGAGGGAGGGAUAAGAUGUCCGUGUAUUAAAUGUAUGUGUGGGUCGAUUGAGAGCGCG